UACGUAGGGGGCUAGCGUUGUCCGGAAUCAUUGGGCGUAAAGCGCGUGUAGGCGGCCCGGUAAGUCCGAUGUGAAAGUCGGGGGCUCAACCCUCGAAAGCCGGUGGAUACUGUCGGGCUCGAGUACGGGAGAGGCGAGUGGAAUUCCUGGUGUAGCGGUGAAAUGCGCAGAUAUCAGGAGGAACACCGGUGGCGAAGGCGGGUCUCUGGGCCGAUACUGACGCUGAGGAGCGAAAGCGUGGGGAGCGAACAGG
rnacentral:rRNA from 1 species